GGGCGCGUAGCUCAGUUGGUUAGAGCACGCGGUUCACAUCCGCGGGGUCACAGGUUCGAGUCCUGUCGCGCCCA
rnacentral:tRNA from 2 species